AAUACCUGGCGGAAACUGGGAGGAAUAGCCGAAGACAUAACCUGAAGCUUAGUCCAAAGGAUUACGCGUAGGAGGGAUCCGCCUAACACUUGAUGUGAGGUAAGGCCCACCAAGAUAUACAGGGUCGGGCUCUGAGAGGAGUAGCCCGGAGAUGGGUACUGAGACACGGACCCAGGCCCUAUGGGGCGCAGCAGGCGAGAAAACUUUGCAAUGUGCGAAAGCACGACAAGGUUAAUCCGAGUGGUUUCUGCUUAAAGAAACCUUUUGUCAGUCCUAGAAACACUGAUGAAUAAGGGGUGGGCAAGUUCUGGUGUCAGCCGCCGCGGUAAAACCAGCACCUCAAGUGGUCAGGAUGAUUAUUGGGCCUAAAGCAUCCGUAGCCGGCUCUGUAAGUUUUCGGUUAAAUCUGUACGCUCAACGUACAGGCUGCCGGGAAUACUGCAGAGCUAGGGAGUGGGAGAGGUAGACGGUACUCGGUAGGAAGGGGUAAAAUCCUUUGAUCUAUUGAUGACCACCUGUGGCGAAGGCGGUCUACCAGAACACGUCCGACGGUGAGGGAUGAAAGCUGGGGGAGCAAACCGGAUUAGAUACCCGGGUAGUCCCAGCUGUAAACUAUGCAAACUCAGUGAUGCAUUGGCUUGUGGCCAAUGCAGUGCUGCAGGGAAGCCGUUAAGUUUGCCGCCUGGGAAGUACGUACGCAAGUAUGAACUCAAAUGAAUUGACGG
rnacentral:rRNA from 1 species